rnacentral:lncRNA from 1 species
CCUUUGUGGUGACGAAAGUGGGACAGGAGCCGCACCAGAAAAAUACUGUCGCGUUCCCAAUGCCGUAGGAAAAGAUCCAACUCCACAGCAUCACAAGCAUGUAAAUAAUAAAUAAGAGAAAUAUCUAGAGUUAACACACAAGUGCGUUGACAGGUAGGGACAAAAUAAAGGUGGAAAAGGCAAACACGCAAAGUCUUCUAGAGGAAGAUGAACGAUCGUAGCAGAUUCUCAUUCGGUAAUAGAUUAGUCAAAACCAAACAGACCGGCGUGUUUCAGAGCGCUGUUCAAGCAGCCAGCAAAAUGACAUCACCAAUAGCAUCAGCACACAGCAGCACACGUGGACGGGCGAGAUAAAAGAAAACCAACGCACUAAACAAAUUAUUCCAAGACAAACUCAUACUACCAAUGUUCUUCGAACCCAACGAACUAUUUCAAGAACAGCAAAAAAAAAAAAAAAAAAAGAAAAAAGA